AAACCAGCACCUCAAGUGGUCAGGAUGAUUAUUGGGCCUAAAGCAUCCGUAGCCUGCUCUGUAAGUUUUCGGUUAAAUCUGUACGCUCAACGUACAGGCUGCCGGGAAUACUGCAGAGCUAGGGAGUGGGAGAGGUAGACGGUACUCGGGAGGAAGUGGUAAAAUGCUUUGAUCUCUCGAUGACCACCUGUGGCGAAGGCGGUCUACCAGAACACGUCCGACGGUGAGGGAUGAAAGCUGGGGGAGCAAACCGGAUUAGAAACCCGGGUAGUCC
rnacentral:rRNA from 1 species